GCUGUGGUAGCUCAGUGGUAGAGCACACCCUUGGUAAGGGUGAGGUCUGGAGUUCAAUCCUCCAUCACAGCACCA
rnacentral:tRNA from 3 species